GACGGAAAAAAGGCAGACAAGAAAGAUGGAAAUGAAGAAGACAAAAGCAGCGAAGAUGACGGAGAGAAUGACGCCGUAGAUGCUCUUCUUGGCUUCUGCGAGAAGUUGGAGAAUGAAUUGGAGAAAGGCUUACCUGACAAUACUCCUUCAGAGCUGUUAGCCAUUUUCCGAUCCGUGGAUCCUAUCUGUGAGGAUGCUGAAGAAAUUGCUGAAUCCGAAUCUGAAGACUCGGAUGAGAAAGGUGACAAAAGUCCCACGGGAAGUCCGAAAAAGCUUCUUGUAAGACUAUGCGAAGGUCUUGAAACCGGUGACAUCGCUAACACUGACCCAGAUUACGACAGUGUUUUUACCGACCUCGAACCUGUGUGUGACGACGUUCUGGAAUUCAUAGACUCGGAAACGGAAAAUGAAGAGGGAGGUGAUGUCAAAAACGGUAGAGAGACCCAAGGUUCAAUACAAACUUUUGGAAAGAAAGACGAGAAAAAGGGAGACAAGAAAGACGGAAAGAAGGGAGACAAGAA
rnacentral:lncRNA from 1 species